rnacentral:rRNA from 1 species
GGCCUUUUGACUAUAAUUUAAGGUUUAGCCUGCCCACUGAGAUUUAAAUGGCCGCGGUAUCCUGACCGUGCAAAGGUAGCAUAAUCAUUAGUUUUUUAAUUGGAAGCUGGUAUGAAUGGUUGGAUGAGAAAAUAGCUGUCUCUAUUUUAAUAUAUAAAAUUUUAUUUUUGAGUUAAAAAGCUCAAAUGAUUUUGAUAGACGAUAAGACCCUAUAGAGUUUAAUAUGAUUUUGUAUUUUUUUUUUUUAGGAUUUUCUUGCUUGAAAUAUAAAAUUUUAUUUAGUUGGGGAGAUUGAGAAAUUAAGUUAACUUUUUUUAUAUUUAUACACAUCUAAGUGACUAGUUGAUCCAUUUCAAUGUGAUUAUAAGAUAAAAUUACCUUAGGGAUAACAGCGUAAUCUUUCUAAAGAGUUCUUAUCGAAAGAAGGGUUUGCGACCUCGAUGUUGGAUUAAAAUUAAUUUUCGGUGCAAAAGCUUGAAUAUUAGGUCUGUUCGACCUUUAAAAUUU